CUUCCUCCAGCAUGACACUUUUCUUUGUUUUUUCAUCAGCCUUUUGGAAAAAGGCCCAUAAUCCAUUUGUAAACAGCUUUUUACCAUACAACUACAGACUUAGUGGAUUACUGUAAGUACUAUAAUUGCCUAUAUCAUAUAAUGUGACUUUCCCUCUUUUGUUUCUAUUGUAUGCACUAUCAAAUAGAAUACGCAAUGUUACAAAAUACACCGAAGCGACAAACACAGUGGUUGGAUAAAGUCUGAGGAUGUGGAGUGGCCGGUCUCAACUCGGUCCUGGCUGGCAGCGGUACAGAUGCUGAGUGCCCCUCCCCUCCAGAAACAGCAGGGGAGUUUGCUGUCUGUCUUUCUGCCGGGGCGAACUGCCACAGAGUAACCAGCCAUCCAACACACACACACACACACACACCACACACACACACACACACACACACACACACACACACACACACACACAGAGUGCACCAAGAGUUCAGUGUGCGUUUACCUACAAUUAAGGGGAGUGGAAAUAUUUGGGGGGAAGUAUUCAGUUUAUCCAUCCACUGUUCUUUCGGUAGGAACGAGUUUCGCGUACUUUCUCCGCGCAUCAGGCAAUUAAAGGGGGACCGACGCUGCUGUCCGCAGGUUGGGCAUGUGUUGCAUGUGAGAGAAGACGGAGUGCGCAGGGUUUGCAGAAAAGGACAGAGUGAAAACGGAACAACACCACUCCACGCACCAUGAAGACAGAGGACUCUGUUAAUCAGAGUCUGAAUGCUGUUGGGGCUCUGCAGUGCAUGUCUGGCAGUAAUUAUGAUGGCAAAGGGAAGAGGAUUAAGGUGCUAUCCCAUCCAGGGGUCCUAUUAGUGGGACUGAUGUUGUUGGCCACACUCCCUUUUGGAGCAAGCAUCAAACAAAGUGUCCCCAGAGUCAAACUCAGUCAUAGAGGUAAGAACUGAAAUAUUGUUGUUUUUAUUGUUGUUACAUAUUUACAUUUACUUUUAUAAUUUCAUAUUAUUACAGUAUGUGUCUAAGGCAGUCUGAG
rnacentral:lncRNA from 1 species